GAUGAACGCUGGCGGCGUGCCUAAUACAUGCAAGUCGAGCGAACAGAUGAGGAGCUUGCUCCUCUGACGUUAGCGGCGGACGGGUGAGUAACACGUGGAUAACCUACCUAUAAGACUGGGAUAACUUCGGGAAACCGGAGCUAAUACCGGAUAAUAUAUUGAACCGCAUGGUUCAAUAGUGAAAGACGGUUUUGCUGUCACUUAUAGAUGGAUCCGCGCCGCAUUAGCUAGUUGGUAAGGUACGGCUUACCAAGGCAACGAUGCGUAGCCGACCUGAGAGGGUGAUCGGCCACACUGGAACUGAGACACGGUCCAGACUCCUACGGGAGGCAGCAGUAGGGAAUCUUCCGCAAUGGGCGAAAGCCUGACGGAGCAACGCCGCGUGAGUGAUGAAGGUCUUCGGAUCGUAAAACUCUGUUAUUAGGGAAGAACAAAUGUGUAAGUAACUAUGCACGUCUUGACGGUACCUAAUCAGAAAGCCACGGCUAACUACGUG
rnacentral:rRNA from 1 species